UUGAGCAGCUUAUGAUUUACUCUUGAGGAAGCAACAAUAUUUCGUUCUCUUUUAGUAAGGGGACAGAUUUCGUUCCCUUUAACAAAAGAAAGAUAUGAAGCGCUACGAUUGUGGUAAACUCAAAAGACGACAUAAAGAUUAUAUCCAUGUCAUUUUCCUCCGAGUGAUAAUAAAUUGGAGAUUUCUUCGAAGUGAAGUAAGAUUGAGGAAGAGUAGUUCUCGGCAUAUAAGGCUAAAGGGGCGAAGAAGCGAGCUUGGUUAUGGUUAACCUGAGAAGCGACAAGGGGGGCUGCGUUUCGUGCCCGCAGGUACAAAUAGUCGGUUUGGUGACCCUUCAGCAUAGGACUUCUACUCAGUUGUCUCGGAGAGCUCCGUUGUUCCGGAGUUUAGACUUUUGGUACAGAUCUUAUGAUAUAUAUAUGUAUGGUUAUCCAGGGGUACGGCGGGGCCCUGUCCCGUCAUAUUUCACUGUUGAUACUCUUAGAGGUCUGUAGACAUAUGUGUGGGUUGUGUAUAAGUUCUGUUCAGCUGUGUCUAUACGAUGUGCUAUGAUAUGAUGUCUGUCUGUAGUGGCAGCCUUGUUGGCUG